AUUUUACCGUGGGGGUGCUCCAUAUGGGGCUGAGAUAAUACCCCUUGAACCUGAUCCGGAUAAUGCCGGCGCAGGGAAACGGUUUAGGAAAAACA
rnacentral:ncRNA from 2 species